UACAGAGGUCUCAAGCGUUAUUCGGAAUCACUGGGCGUAAAGGGUGCGUAGGCGGCCGUGCAAGUCUGGCGUGAAAGCCCCGGGCUCAGCCCGGGAAGUGCGCUCGAAACUGCGCGGCUCGAGUGCCGGAGGGGAGAGUGGAAUUCCUGGUGUAGCGGUGAAAUGCGUAGAUAUCAGGAGGAACACCGGUGGCGAAGGCGGUUCUCUGGGCAUUACCUGACGCUGAGGAGCGAAAGUGUGGGGAGCGAACAGG
rnacentral:rRNA from 1 species